GACAAAGACACCCUUCACUGGCCAGCUUUCCUUUCCUUUCCACCGCCCAAGACCCCCAAAGGCCCAGCCUGCCUUCACCUACGCCCCUUCUAACUGGGGGCAGGCGGCUUGCGCCACCGCUUAUCAGCUCAUACAUUGGAUUUUUUUUACACGUGAGGAGGGCUCGUUUCGCGAGAGAAAGGCCCGAGCAGCACGACGACGCCUCCUCUCCCGUCCCAGCCGUCUGAAGUGGGGCAGCCCGACCCAGGGACCCUGCUGGAGGGAGGCGUUGCUUGGGCGCGCCAGGUCUCCGGCGCUGCUCCCAGCCGGCUCUCCCUUCCCCCUCGCCAAGGUGCGAGCGAGCGAGGUGCUGCUGCUGCCCGGCGCAUAAAGAGCCUCUCUGUUGCGCCUUCCCGAAUUCAAGCGGCCCAGCUGAAGCUGCCGCCGCUUGCUGCUCCUUCUUCUCCUGCAUAAAGCGCCUUUAUGUGGCUCCAGACUCCUCCGGAGAGCAGCCCGCGGCGCGGCUGAAAGGCGCUUUGAGAGGCCGGCGAGCGGCGGCGCGGAGAGCCGAGCGCCCCCCUGCCGGCCUGAGUGGCACCGAGUGCCCCGCCAGGGCUGCGCGGGGCGGCGGGGCGGCCAUUAGCAUGCGCGCGGAGUAGCCGGAGGGAGGGAAGCGAGGAAGGCCGCCUCCGGGGCUCAGCCACCUGGACGGCCCCGACGGCCCCGCUGUCUCCUUCUCCCGGGCGCCAUCCUUUCCGCCGUGGCGCGAUCCUGCGCGCUCUGCGCUGGGAAGGAAGUCUCGCUGAGUUCCGUAGGACCUGCUGCUUAGUCGCCCGCAGCUUCUCUGUGGCUGCAGCAAACCUUGUACCACUUGAUUCUCAAAGCGCCAACUUCAUGCACGUCAAGUUGCUUUUGUUCAUUUUUAGCCAUAAGGUGGAUAAAACCUGGUCUUACAUUCUGUAGUGUGAUGGUUUUGGAGCCAAGCCUAUCCUUUUCUGGCUAGCCCAACGCCGCUGUGCUUGUCAUUACCCUUGUGCCAGAGGGGUGGGGUUGUAAGGGGGAAAGUAAAUGGAAUAAUUGAUAUUUCUAAUUCCAGAACUUCUCAGAGAUGGAGAAACUUGUUUCAGCUCGGGUUACAAAAUUCAAUUAAUAGUAAGAGCAGCUUUCACUAGAUCCUCCAGAGGAAGCUGUAUUCUGCAGGUCACGGGUUACUGUACUAUCCAUUAACUGAUAGCGUUUAGCACUUAGCAUUGUUGGAUUACUGAUAGCAGGCUAAAGAAGAAGAACAUUUCUGUCUUUCUUGUUACAUGGUAGGGGACAUUUUAUUGAAAUCGUUGGGACCAGCUUUUAAGUAAAUGUAUUUAGAAUACGACAAGAUAUGUUCAGGAUAUGAUCUCACCAUAACUAACCAGAAUGGGAGCCAACAGCAAAAGUCUACCCAUCUACUGUCAGUCUGUAAGUAAUUUUGUCCCUGCAGUCUGUACUUCUCCAUCUUAUUUUUUUAAACAUUAUGAACAUUCUGUGGAUGUGUGUGCAUGAAAGGAGCAAGCAAGAGUGAUACAUAACACCAGCCUCGAUCCAGGUUAGCUGGAAACAGAAACUGUUCUGCAGUCUAAUCCUAUGCGUAACUCAAAUGUAAGCCCUUCUGCGUAAAACUUUAAGCCAAAACAUGUAAUAGUUGUCACAGGUAAAGCACUUGCUUGUGUAAGAGAUACACAUACUUUCCAUUACAUUAUUAUUAUUAUUAUUAUUAUUAUUACUACCACCACAUGAAUCAAUCUACAGUCGUACCUUGGAUCCCAAACGCCUUGCGAGUCAAACAUUUUGGCUCCCGAAUGCCACAACCCCGGGAGUGUUCCGGUUUGCGAACAUUCUUUGGAACCUGAACGUCCAGUGUGACUUCUGCGACUUCUGAUUGGCUGCAGGAGCUUCCUGCAGCCAGUUGGAAGCUGUGCCUUGGUUUUCGGAUGUUUUGGAAGUUGAAUGGACUUCCAGAACAGAUUCCAUUCGGCUGUAUUUGAUUAUAGAGUUAGCAUGUCAGGAGCUCACCUGGCCAAAGCACAGUUUGCUGAUAUGCUAAUUCUAAACAUGGACAAGCCUUCUCCUACAAUGAAUGUUUGUGUGUAUAUAUAGCAUGUGGAACUCUUAUAAUGGGGGUGCCUUUUACCUCUGGCCACAUCUGUUUUGACCUUGUGCAUGUAUAUAAGUGGAUAUAUAAAUUGUCAUACAUUUAUUUGGAAGUGAGAUUAAUCUCAAGAAAAGUAAAUGCAUUUUCAGAAUGGAUUCUCUCUGUGCCUGUGGUUUAACAGGGUUUUGUUUAUGUCGAGUGGAGGAACUCCUUUAAGGCAGCAACUAAUAGCAGCGGCACUGGGAAGAGAGAAGGAAACAAGGGGAGAAGACUAUUAAACACUUGAAACCCCCCCAUCUCCUGAAAUCCUUGCAGGCCAUGCUAAUUGGAUCAUCUACAUCAGAGGAAUGAACAAGGGAGUUCCAGAAUGCAGAGCAGAUCUGGGACCCUGACUUCUAAGGAGAGUUGUCAGGGUACGGUGCCUCUAUAGCAGUGAUUACAGGCAGUGGAAAAUAAGGAUGAGUCAUCUACAAAAAGGAGAAUAUAGAUGCUUGCAGGCCAUCUCCUCCUUUGCCCAUCUAUCU